CUUUUACAUAGCUGUUUGUGAUGCUAAAGCUGGGAUUCCCAAAACUGUCUUGCCCUUUUGUCCGCUCUCCUUCUGUCAGGCUCAGCCGAAGGAGGGCGCUAGAGCGAGGCCGCAAGGCUGGAGGAGGGUGAAGGGACUGCUCUUCUGUUUCCUGCUCCCUUCCUGUUUUCUUAUGGUUUCUGCGAGUGUCACCCCAGCAGCCCUUUCUCAUCCAGCGCUAGUAAUUCCCUCUGCAGAAGGCGCUGAAGCCAGUCUGCCGUUUUUCCAAUAAUUGCAAAACCAGCCUCACGGGCCCCCAUCAUGGUCACCAGCAGCGGACCAGUGUGUGCCUCUCCGUCACCAGAGUUUUGGGUCCCUGCACAGUGGGACCCUUCUCUAAGUUUCUAAAUUUUAAUAAUUCCAGACACUUCUCUUUCUUCCCCUCUGACGUAAGGAUGACGGUGCUUCCUGUAGCUGUAGCCGUUAUGACCUUAGAAUUCUUUUCACCUUUUCAAUCUCCUAGUUAAAAAUUUUAUGCAUGGUUAACCAUUCUUGUAUUGAAUUCUCUGUUUUUAAAAAGCCUCAGCUAAGGCAUUAAUCCUGCUUAGACCUGGGUCAGGUCCUUAAGUCAGCUCACUGAGGGUUUUCUUCAAGGAUAGUUGUGAAGAUUUGUUGACCUAAUGCAAGUAAAACAUUUCGAAAAGUGCCUGGUACAUGAACCUCUGAUACUCAAUGAGUUGGCAAAUCCCUGAGACACAGAAUCUUAGAGUUGAACUGUAACCUGGAUGAUAAGUGGUUCAGACUCUCCUAUACGUAUUCAGACAGGAAAUUCUCCAGAGGGCAGAAGGGAAAUUCAUUUCAUUACUACAGCAUGAUAGAAAUAUUUCUUAAAGAACAUCAAAUUCCCUUUGUUCCAAUUCAGUGCUCUCCAGUACUGAAAUGAUAGAGGAAAAAAAGGAAGAUGAAAUGUUGAUUAUAUGGUAGUAUGAGAUGAGAGCAGGAAAAGGAUGAUUUUUAUGAGCUCAUGUUCUUGCAACCUAAUUCAUCAGUUUGAAAUUCAAACACUCGUCAAGCAAGAGAAACCAGCUGCCAUAAUGUGCGUUGUCCUAUAGAGAGACCAAGGUGGCAAAAAACACCCCUGAGGAGUCCACUGGUCAGCAGCCAGUGAGAAACUGAAACCUGCAAUUCAACAACAAGUCAACGAGCCGUGAGAGUGGUCCUGGAAGUGAGU
rnacentral:lncRNA from 1 species